CUAGCGUUGUUCGGAUUUACUGGGCGUAAAGCGCACGUAGGCGGAUCGAUCAGUCAGGGGUGAAAUCCCAGAGCUCAACUCUGGAACUGCCUUUGAUACUGUCGAUCUGGAGUAUGGAAGAGGUGAGUGGAAUUCCGAGUGUAGAGGUGAAAUUCGUAGAUAUUCGGAGGAACACCAGUGGCGAAGGCGGCUCACUGGUCCAUUACUGACGCUGAGGUGCGAAAGCGUGGGGAGCAAACAGG
rnacentral:rRNA from 1 species